AUUGAACGCUGGCGGCAGGCUUAACACAUGCAAGCCGAGCGGGGGAAGGUAGCUUGCUACCGGACCUAGCGGCGGACGGGUGAGUAAUGCUUAGGAAUCUGCCUAUUAGUGGGGGACAACAUCUCGAAAGGGAUGCUGAUACCGCAUACGUCCUACGGGAGAAAGCAGGGGAUCUUCGGACCUUGCGCUAAUAGAUGAGCCUAAGUCGGAUUAGCUGGUUGGUGGGGUAAAGGCCUACCAAGGCGACGAUCUGUAGCGGGUCUGAGAGGAUGAUCGGCCACACUGGGACUGAGAGACGGCCCAGAAUCCUACGGGAGGCAGCAGUGGGGAAUAUUGGACAAUGGGGGGAACCCUGAUCCAGCCAUGCCGCGUGUGUGAAGAAGGCCUUAUGGUUGUAAAGCACUUUAAGCGAGGAGGAGGCUACUCUAGUUAAUACCUAGGGAUAGUGGACGUUACUCGCAGAAUAAGCACCGGCUAACUCUGUGCCAGCAGCCGCGGUAA
rnacentral:rRNA from 1 species